rnacentral:rRNA from 1 species
GGUAUAGUUCUUCGGAACUAGAGACCGGCGCACGGGUGCGUAACGCGUAUGCAAUCUACCUUUUACAGAGGGAUAGCCCAGAGAAAUUUGGAUUAAUACCUCAUAGCAUUGCAGAAUGGCAUCAUUCAGCAAUUAAAGUCACAACGGUAAAAGAUGAGCAUGCGUCCCAUUAGCUAGUUGGUAAGGUAACGGCUUACCAAGGCUACGAUGGGUAGGGGUCCUGAGAGGGAGAUCCCCCACACUGGUACUGAGACACGGACCAGACUCCUACGGGAGGCAGCAGUGAGGAAUAUUGGACAAUGGGCGCAAGCCUGAUCCAGCCAUGCCGCGUGCAGGAUGACGGUCCUAUGGAUUGUAAACUGCUUUUAUACGAGAAGAAACACUGCUUCGUGAAGCAGCUUGACGGUAUCGUAAGAAUAAGGAUCGGCUAACUCCGUGCCAGCAGCCGCGGUAAUACGGAGGAUCCAAGCGUUAUCCGGAAUCAUUGGGUUUAAAGGGUCCGUAGGCGGUUUAGUAAGUCAGUGGUGAAAGCCCAUCGCUCAACGGUGGAACGGCCAUUGAUACUGCUGAACUUGAAUUAUUAGGAAGUAACUAGAAUAUGUAGUGUAGCGGUGAAAUGCUUAGAGAUUACAUGGAAUACCAAUUGCGAAAGGCANGUACUACUAAUGGAUUGA